GGUGACAGCCGGCGCUGGGACCCUGCGGCUCGAGCGCCCCCUGCCGCCCGCCCGCACCCGCUCGCCCUCCCGCCCGCACCCGCUCGCCCGCCAGCCCGCACCCGCUCGCCCGCCCGCCCGCACCCGCUCAGCCCCGGUUUGGAAAGCAGCCGGCGGCGUCGCCGCAAAGCCAAGCGACGCCUCUGCGCCCCAGACACAGUCCGCAGAGCGGCGUCCUCGUCGGUCCCUGGCCCUCGAACAUUCUCCGCCGCCCCGGCCUGAGCCAGGGACCGCCGAGGUUCUCCACAGGCCGAGCUAACUUCCCACCCCAGGAACAGAGCUCGCUCUGCUGCCCCCGGUGGCGGCCGGCCGCCACCUUACCCUCGGCUUCUUCGACAAUCGGCGACGGCCGGUUGAGAACUACAUUUCCCAUCAGGCCCUUCUCAACACCGCGAUCGUGCCCGCGAGACUCGGGUGGGAAGACCGCGCGCAGGCGCAGCCUCGCCCUUUCCGAGCUCGGCCGCCGCGUGUGCGGGAGUCAUGGCCGCGAGGCUCCGUCGUGCGCCCACGGGCAGGGCUGGGCCUUGGGUGUCGGCGUGCCCCUGGCAAAGCAUCAGGUUAAUGGCAGGAUCCCCAGGCGUAAAGGGACCCGCGUGGCCGCCCAGUGAGAAGGCGGAGAAGGACGGCGGGCAUCUGCGUGCACUGUUCUCAGGUUCCCCAAUGAGCGAGCGUUGAGCCAUGAGUCCCUUUCGAUUGGAGUUGGCUCCUGGAGACACCAUGAGAUGCUGUGUGUGGUGCAGGCCAAGUCUGGGGCAGAAAGGGAUGCUGUGGCAGCCUGCAGGAGUCAGGAAUGUAAGGCUUAUGCCAUCAGUGCUUAGUGACUCUGUCCUUGCCACCACAGCAGUCCUGACAUUUUGGGGAAAGAAGGCGCAGCGACUCUGGCAGCCUCAGUACAGAGUUACUGCCCUAAAGUGCCCUGCUGCUGCUGACUUUAAUCUCCCAGAGAGAAUGUCAUCAAAGGACCUUGGAGUUUGAUCUGCAGAAGUAGCCAAGAAGUCAAGUGACUCUGUCAUCCUGGGAAGCCUCUGGCAGCUAGCAGUUGGAGGCACUGGGGAGGCAGGUGCUGCGCCUAGAAAAGCAUUUCUCAGUGGAUUUCCUGGGAAGUUCAUGUUGGGCUUUGUGAUUUGAAGCACAAAUAAACCUUAUUAGAUUUAACUCACUAACAUUGUGGAUGUGAGAUUGAGGCUUUUCUAACACUGAAGGGUGUUCUAGAAUAACACUUGAACUUGACUGCAGAAAACUAAAGACAUUUCUACUGACCUGUUAAAAAAUUUACUUUGGCUGGGCGUUGGUGGCGCAUGCCUUUAAUACCAGCACUCGGGAGGCAGAGGCAGGUGGAUUUCUGUGACUUCGAGGCCAGCCUGUUCUCCAGAGCAAGUGCCAGGAUAGGCUCCAAAGCUACACAGAGAAACCCUGCCUGGAACCACCCCCCCC
rnacentral:lncRNA from 1 species